rnacentral:antisense_RNA from 1 species
AAGUACCUACCACGCCACCCGCUACCUGCAAUAAUCCAUCUGAAGAGGUCGCCGGGCAGCGGCUCGGCAGACAGACUGACCUGCGGGGAGGCAGCACUGAGAAGUGAAGGAAUAUUUGGGAGGAUCAGAAGCUUGGUCCUGAUUUUGCCAUCAACAGGAACUUGAUGACUUCAAGGGAGUCCCCAAACCCUGGGUUUCUGUUUUCUCAACUCUAACAUGAGGGGCUAGAUGCAUCUGGUUUAGUUAGUCUCCAUGAUGGUUUAGUUCGUCUCCAUGAUCCUGUGAAUUUCAGAUGUUGAAAAUCUUUGGAAAAGCCCUGAAAGAUGAACAGUGGUCUCAAAUAGUCAAGACCCCCUGCUGGGAGGAGCUAUCCUGCUCUUUGGAAGAAAUGGGCAUGCCAGAUGCCUGGAAGAUCAGAGGCUCACAUUCCAGCUGUAGGUGGCCCACCAGGUGUCAACAACUGUAGAGUUCCAUCAAGAGUCAUGAUUUUACAGUUACAAGUCAGAGGGGCCUUCACAGAUCCAUCAGGCUCAACACUGCCUCCUUAGUGAACCUGUGAACCACCCAAGAUGGCUGGUCAUCAGUGUCAUCCUCUUCCUUUUCCAGACAACUAUCUUUAAAAGAAAAAAAAAAAGAGUGUC